AACGCGAAGAACCUUACCUGGGCUCGAACGGCUAGUCAACGAUCGUGGAAACACGGUUACUCCGCAAGGGGGUCUAGUCGAGGUGCUGCAUGGCUGUCGUCAGCUCGUGUCGUGAGAUGUUGGGUUAAGUCCCGCAACGAGCGCAACCCUUGUCCUGUGUUGCCAUGCCGAAAGGCGGAACUCGCAGGAGACCGCCAGCGAUAAGCUGGAGGAAGGUGGGGAUGACGUCAAGUCCUCAUGGCCUUUAUGUCCAGGGCUACACACGUGCUACAAUGGCCGGUACAAUGCGCUGCUAAGUCGCAAGACGGAGCCAAUCGCAAAAAACCGGUCUCAGUUCGGAUUGCAGGCUGCAACUCGCCUGCAUGAAGCUGGAAUCGCUAGUAAUGGCAGAUCAGAACGCUGCCGUGAAUACGUUCCCGGGCCUUGUA
rnacentral:rRNA from 1 species